GGGGGAUAUUGCACAAUGGGGGGAACCCUGAUGCAGCGACGCCGCGUGGGUGAAGGAGCGUUUCGGCGCGUAAAGCCCUAUCGGCAGGGAAGAAGGAGGACGGUACCUGACUAAGAAGCCCCGGCUAACUACGUGCCAGCAGCCGCGGUAAUACGUAGGGGGCAAGCGUUAUCCGGAUUUACUGGGUGUAAAGGGGGCGUAGACGGCGAUGCAAGUCUGAAGUGAAAGGCGGGGGCCCAACCCCCGGACUGCUUUGGAAACUGUAUGGCUGGAGUGCAGGAGAGGUAAGUGGAAUUCCUAGUGUAGCGGUGAAAUGCGUAGAUAUUAGGAGGAACACCAGUGGCGAAGGCGGCUUACUGGACUGUAACUGACGUUGAGGCUCGAAAGCGUGGGGAGCAAACAGG
rnacentral:rRNA from 1 species